ensembl:lncRNA
UCCAAUUAUCUCAUCUUCUAUCACCCCUUCUCUUGCCCUCAAUCUUUCCCAGCAUCAGGGUUGUUUCCAAUGAGUCAGUUCUUUGCAUCAGGUGACCAAAGUAUUGGAGUGUCAAUUAGAUAUGAGAAAUUUCACAAGAAAAUACAGUUUGAUACCUUGUCUUAAAAAUGAGAUAAAACAAAACAAAAAACCAAAAUCUUAAGCCAUAUAGCACUGGACCAGAAUUCUAAGCUGUAGCAGAGUUUCCAGAUCAGUGGUCAUGUAUGGAUGUGAGAGUUGGACUGUGAAAAGAGCUGAGCACCGAAGAAUUGAUGCUUUUGAACUGUAGUGUUGGAGAAGACUUUUGAGAAUUUUUUGGACUGUAAGGAGAUCCAACCAGUCCAUUCUAAAGGAGGUAAUUUAGCUGUUGUUCGAUUGACAGAGGAGAAGAGAAACAUAAAGAGAAGAGGCACUUUCUUGGUAGGACUCUAUCAUCUUAAAG